rnacentral:rRNA from 1 species
GAUGAACGCUGGCGGCGUGCUUAACACAUGCAAGUCGAACGAGAAGUGGAGACGGAAACCUUCGGGCGGAAGACUUUACUUCGAGUGGCGGACGGGUGAGUAACGCGUGGGUAACCUGCCUCAUACAGGGGGAUAACAGUUGGAAACGACUGUUAAUACCGCAUCAGACCACAGCACCGCAUGGUGCGGGGGUAAAAACUCCGGUGGUAUGAGAUGGACCCGCGUUCGAUUAGCCAGUUGGCGGGGUAACGGCCCACCAAAGCGACGAUCGAUAGCCGAGCUGAGAGGAUGACCGGCCACAUUGGGACUGAGACACGGCCCAAACUCCUACGGGAGGCAGCAGUGGGGAAUAUUGCACAAUGGGGGAAACCCUGAUGCAGCGACGCCGCGUGAGUGAAGAAGUAUUUCGGUAUGUAAAGCUCUAUCAGCAGGGAAGAAAAUGACAGUACCUGAGGAAGAAGCCCCGGCUAACUACGUG